AGUGAACGCUGGCGGUAGGCCUAACACAUGCAAGUCGAACGGCAGCACAGUAAGAGCUUGCUCUUACGGGUGGCGAGUGGCGGACGGGUGAGGAAUACAUCGGAAUCUACUUUUUCGUGGGGGAUAACGUAGGGAAACUUACGCUAAUACCGCAUACGACCUACGGGUGAAAGCAGGGGAUCUUCGGACCUUGCGCGAUUGAAUGAGCCGAUGUCGGAUUAGCUAGUUGGCGGGGUAAAGGCCCACCAAGGCGACGAUCCGUAGCUGGUCUGAGAGGAUGAUCAGCCGCACUGGAACUGAGACACGGUCCAGACUCCUACGGGAGGCAGCAGUGGGGAAUAUUGGACUAUGGGCGCGAGCCUGAUCCAGCCAUACCGCGUGGGUGAAGAAGGCCUUCGGGUUGUAAAGCCCUUUUGUUGGGAAAGAAAAGCAGCAGGUUAAUACCCCGCUGUUCUGACGGUACCCAAAGAAUAAGCACCGGCUAACUUCGUG
rnacentral:rRNA from 1 species